CCUUCCCCCACCCCGCCCCCCCUCCUUCGAACUAGGGGGGGAAUAGGGGAACAGUAGGGGGGUUACCCCCAGGUCAGCGUGCGAGUCGGGCAUUUAAACUGGCCCCCGGCUCCUGGCAGUUGGGCAAGGACUGGGGAACAUCGGGGUGGGAUGCUGGAGGCAACCGUGGCUAUGGGCCCCGGGGGAACCCACCAAGAGGAUCGCGCCUUGAGAAAAUCCCGGCUUCCCUUUGGUGCUCUCCCUUCUCUCGUUCUCCUAAGGUUAUAUUUCUUGAUUUCUCUUUGAAAAGCCCCAGAAGAUAGAGGACUGUCCUAAAGCUGCCCAGCAUCAUCCACAGAUCAUUAGGAUACACUGGAAAAGUGGAAAGAGCCCAGAAGUUGCCCUCAGUUCUACGUUCAAAUUCCAGGCAUAAUCAUUUAUUCCUGGAAUGAACCUGGGAAGAUAGUUGUGAUACAGGUUAACCUGAGAAAACUUGAGAAAUAAAGAUUUGUCCAAAUUAAUUCAGAGAGGAGGAGAAGAAGAACAGGGAGGAAAAAGAAAGAAGGUAUGGGGUUGGAGUAGAUGUCUCCUGUAUUCUUUUCCAACUCAGAAAUUCUAGAAUUCUGUGCCCCUCCACUAGAGGAAUACAGAAAGAGUUCUUUAAGACAUACCAACCUUGGAGUUGUGAACUGAUCCAGCCAUUCUGGAGGGCAAUUUGGAACUAUGCCCAAAGGGCGACAAAAGAAUAUCUACCCUUUGAUCCAGCCAUAGCACUGCUGGGUCUGUACCCCAAAGAGAUAAUGGAGAAAAAGACUUGUACAAAAAUAUUCAUAGCUGUGCUCUUUGUGGUGGCCAAAAACUGGAAAACGAGGGGAUGCCCAUCAAUUGGGGAAUGGCUGAGCAAAUUGUGGUAUAUGUUGGUGAUGGAAUACUAUUGUGCUAAAAGGAAUAAUAAAGUGGAGGAGUUCCAUGGAGAAUGGAACAACCUCCAGGAAGUGAUGCAGAGCGAAAGGAGCAGAACCAGGAGAACAUUGUACACAGAGACUAACACACUGUGGUAUAAUCGAACGUAAUGGACUUCUCCAUUAGUGGCGGUGUAAUGUCCCUGAACAAUCUGCAGGGAUCCAGGAGAAAAAAACACUAUUCAUAAGCAAAGGAUAAACUAUGGGAGUGGAAACACCAAGGAAAAGCAACUGCCUGAAUACAGAGGUUGAGGGGACAUGACAGAGGAGAGACUCUAAAUGAACACUCUAAUGCAAAUAUUAUCAACAAAGCAAUGGGUUCAAAUCAAGAAAACAUGUAAUGCCCAGUGGAUUUAUGCGUCGGCUAUGGGGAGUGGGGGGGAGGAAAAGAAAAUGAUCUAUGUCUUUAACGAAUAAUGCUUGGAAAUGAUCAAAUAAAAUAUAUUAAAAAAAAAAAAGACAUACCAACCUAACCCAUGCCUAUCAAGUUGGUAAAGUUGACAAAAGGGGAUAAUGAUCAAUGUUGGAGAGGCUGAAAACAGGCACAUUAAUGCACCAUUGAGGGGGCUGUGAAUUAGUCCAGCCAUUCCGGAAAACAAUUUGAAACUAAGGUCAAAAGUUACUAAACUUUAUAUACUCGUUUACCUAUUAGUCCUCUACCCUAAGAGAUCAAAGAAUGAAGGAAAGGACCCAUGUGUACAAAAAUAUUUAUAACAGCUCUUUUUGUAGCCAGAAAGAAAGAAUUGGAAACUAGAGGAAUACCUAUCCAUCAAUAAGUUAUGGUACAUGAAUACUAUUGUCAUAGAAAAUUAGGAAAAGUACAGUUUCAGAGAAACUUGAGAAGACACAUAGGAAGAGAUGUAGAACCAGGAAAGCAAUUUAUAUAACAACUUGUAUUGAAAGAUUUAUGAACUCUAAUCAAUGCAAUAACUGACCAUCAUUCCAAAAAGACUGACAGAGUAUGCUACCUACCUCCUGAGGUGGACAUUGUGAUAAAAGGAUUUUUUUCUCCUUUUUUUUUUCCAUUAGAGGGAGAAAGUAGGAAGGGAAAAAAAUAAAUGUUUGUUCACUUUUAAAAUAAAAUAAUUUUUAAAAAUAACACCACUCUAUGUGGCAAAAUUGGGACAUUAAUGCAUUGUUGGUGGAGUUGUGAAUUGAUCCAACCAUUCUGGAGGGCAGUUUGGAACUAUACCCAAAGGGUGCUAAAGGACUGUCUGCCCUUUGAUCCAGCCAUACCACUGCUGGGUUUAUACCUCAAAGAGAUAAUGAGGAAAAAGACUAUUAAAAGAACAUUCAUAGGGAGGAGGGGGAGGAGGAAAAGAAAAUGAUCUGUUUCCAAUGAAUAAUGUAUUAAAAUGACCAAAUAAAAUAAUGUUUUUAAAAAAGAAUAUUCAUAGCUGCACUCUUUGUGGUGGCAAAAAAAAUUGGAAAAUCAGGGGAUACCCUUCAAUUGGGGAAUGGCUGAAGAAAUUGUGGUAUAUGUUGGUGAUGGAAUACUAUUGUGCUCAAAGGAAUAAUAAAGUGGAGGAAUUCCAUGUGUAUUGGAACAACCUCCAGGAACUGAUGCAGAGUGAGAGGAGCAGAACCAGGAGAACAUUGUAUAGAGAGACGGAUACACUAUAGUACAAUCAAAUGUAAUGGACUUCUCUAUUAGCAGCAAUGCGAUAAUCCAGAACUAUUUGGAGGGACAUAUGAGAAAGAACACUAUCCACAUCCAGAGGAAGAACUGUGGGAAAAGAAACACAGUAGAAAAACAACUGCUUGAUCACAUUGGUUGAUGGGGCUAUGACUGGGGAUGUAGACCCUAAACAAUCACUCUAGUGCAAAUAUUAAUAAUAUGGAAAUGGGUCUUGAUCAAUGACACAUGUUAAACCCAGUGGAAUUGUGCAUCAAAUAUGGGAAGGGGCCAGGGGAGGGGAGGGAAAAAUACGAGUCUUGUAACCAUGGGAAAACUAUUCUAAAUCAUCUAAUUAAAUAAAAAAUUUAAAAAUAAAUAACACCACUCUAUUCUCUGUGAUAUUUUGUUGAGUAUGAUCAGAGAAAUAGUUGGGAGUGAUGCCUGGAGGACAGUGUAGAAACCAGUAUCCAAGCUGCCACAGAGGAAAGUAUAGGAGAGAGGAAAGUAUAGGAGAGACCAGCAGGAAAUGCCAGUGGAGAGUGGCACAAAAGAUCUGCC